GUGGGACGCGGGAGGCUCUGCAGGAGCAGAGGAGGCGAGGCGGAGCUGGGCUUCCCCGAGGACUUCAUGCGGCCCCGUGGCCGGGACCUUCGGGCUGCGUUGCUUCGUUCAUUCACCCAAGACCCCCCUGAGAGCUGCCAGAUUCCAGACCCUGCGUGGACGCGAAGCACAAAUGCACAUGGCCAUGGUGCACAGGACGGGAUUUCAGAUUCUCCAGGCGCCUAUGUCCCCUCUGUCACCUUCCAGGGCCCCUGGAAACCUUGCAGAGAGAUGCCUGGAGAUCGUGCCCACCCUCAGCUGCCACACGAGGUUCUGGAGCUGGGAGAAAACCCAGAAGUAUCCCUUUGGAGGGACGCCCUGGCCAGGCCCAAUGCUGUGGGGACAGGUCACAGCUCAGCACCGUGGUGACAGCCACAUGCAUCCUGGACCCCACCACCCUCUGGCUCCCUUCCCUCAGGCAGAAGCUGCAGCAGUGUCUCCCGGCACCCGAUCAGCCACUGGCAGGACCACAGCCUCAGCCCCUGCUUCCAGGAGAUGUGAGCCAGGUCUGAAUGAAAUCCUGCCGCUCGAGUCACCUGGCCAGCAACUCAGCCUCCCAGGCCCUGUGAAGAAGGGUGACCAAGACUCUUACCCGUAGGGCGCUGUGUUGACGGAGUGUGAGUGUGAACACAGAAGUGCUUGGGACACACCUGGCUGAUUGAAAGAGCCUGGAGACGCCACUGUUGCUCACCAUGGUGACGGGCAGGUGGUCAGCUCGAUGCCACCCAUCGCAUGCGCAGCCCUGGUUCGUCCCCCCUUCCUCAGAGUGUGGUGGUCAAGGUCCAGGUGGGAACCUGUGCAGUGGUGAGCACAGCCCAUGUGGGGUGCUGGGGGUGGUGCACUGAUCAAAGCCUGGCUGCUGGCCACUGUCACCUGCGGCUCUUCCAAAAUGUCAGCUCCUCUCCAACUCCCUGGAGCCCUGCAAGCAUCUAACUCCCUGUGGGCUGCUGGGGUCCUGAGAGCCUUUUGGGGAGAAUAACACUGAGUCUGGGUCCAGAGGGUGUGUGGGAAGGUGGUCUGGGGCAGAAGAGAUGGC
rnacentral:lncRNA from 1 species